rnacentral:rRNA from 1 species
GACGAACGCUGGCGGCGUGCUUAACACAUGCAAGUCGAACGGAAAGGCCCUGCUUUUGUGGGGUGCUCGAGUGGCGAACGGGUGAGUAACACGUGAGUAACCUGCCCUUGACUUUGGGAUAACUUCAGGAAACUGGGGCUAAUACCGGAUAGGAGCUCCUGCUGCAUGGUGGGGGUUGGAAAGUUUCGGCGGUUGGGGAUGGACUCGCGGCUUAUCAGCUUGUUGGUGGGGUAGUGGCUUACCAAGGCUUUGACGGGUAGCCGGCCUGAGAGGGUGACCGGCCACAUUGGGACUGAGAUACGGCCCAGACUCUACGGGAGGCAGCAGUGGGGAAUAUUGCACAAUGGGCGGAAGCCUGAUGCAGCAACGCCGCGUGCGGGAUGACGGCCUUCGGGUUGUAAACCGCCUUCGCCUGUGACGAAGCGUGAGUGACGGUAAUGGGUAAAGAAGCACCGGCUAACUACGUG